rnacentral:rRNA from 1 species
AGGAUCAACGCUGGCGGCGUGCAUGAGACAUGCAAGUCGAACGGACACUCGGGGCUUGCUCUGAGUGUUAGUGGCGGACGGCUGAGUAACGCGUAGGUGACCUGCCCCGAAGUGGGGAAUAACUGCCCGAAAGGGUGGCUAAUACCGCAUGUGGUGAUGCGUUCAUUCGCAUCAGUAAAGCCGCAAGGCGCUUCGGGAGGGCCUGCGUCCGAUUAGCUCGUUGGUGAGGUAACGGC